UUUCCGUAGGUGAACCUGCGGAAGGAUCAUUCAUAAUAAAGUGUUUUAUGGCAUUUUUUAAAAAUCCAUAUCCACCUUGUGUGCAAUGUUAGAUCUCGUCAAUCUUGGCGAGGUUUUUAUACAUCAACUCAUUCUUUAACUAAUUUGUCUGAAAAAUAUUAUGAAUACUUAAUUCAAAAUACAACUUUCAACAACGGAUCUCUUGGCUCUC
rnacentral:misc_RNA from 1 species